UACGGGGGGGGCAAGCGUUGCUCGGAAUUACUGGGCGUAAAGGGUUUGUAGGUGGCUUGUUAAGUCAGACGUGAAAUCCCUCAGCUUAACUGGGGAACUGCGUCUGAUACUGGCGAGCUUGAGUGCAGGAGAGGAACGCGGAAUUCCAGGUGUAGCGGUGAAAUGCGUAGAUAUCUGGAGGAACACCGGUGGCGAAGGCGGCGUUCUGGACUGCAACUGACACUGAGAAACGAAAGCCAGGGUAGCAAACGGG
rnacentral:rRNA from 1 species